rnacentral:rRNA from 1 species
GGUGAACGCUGGCGGCGUGCCUAAUACAUGCCAGUCGAGCGAACGGACGAGAAGCUUGCUUUUCUGAUGUUAGCGGCGGACGGGUGAGUAACACGUGGAUAACCUACCUAUAAGACUGGGAUAACUUCGGGAAACCGGAGCUAAUACCGGAUAAUAUUUUGAACCGCAUGGUUCAUAAGUGAAAGACGGUCUUGCUGUCACUUAUAGAUGGAUCCGCGCUGCAUUAGCUAGUUGGUAAGGUAACGGCUUACCAAGGCAACGAUGCAUAGCCGACCUGAGAGGGUGAUCGGCCACACUGGAACUGAGACACGGUCCAGACUCCUACGGGAGGCAGCAGUAGGGAAUCUUCCGCAAUGGGCGAAAGCCUGACGGAGCAACGCCGCGUGAGUGAUGAAGGUCUUCGGAUCGUAAAACUCUGUUAUUAGGGAAGAACAUAUGUGUAAGUAACUGUGCACAUCUUGACGGUACCUAAUCAGAAAGCCACGGCUAACUACGUG